UGGGGAAUAUUGCACAAUGGGCGGAAGCCUGAUGCAGCGACGCCGCGUGGGGGAUGAAGGCCUUCGGGUUGUAAACUCCUUUCGACAGGGACGAAGCUUUUGUGACGGUACCUGUAUAAGAAGCACCGGCUAACUACGUACCAGCAGCCGCGGUAAUACGUAGGGUGCGAGCGUUGUCCGGAAUUACUGGGCGUAAAGAGCUCGUAGGUGGUUUGUCGCGUCGUCUGUGAAAUUCCGGGGCUUAACUCCGGGCGUGCAGGCGAUACGGGCUGACUUGAGUGCUGUAGGGGAGACUGGAAUUCCUGGUGUAGCGGUGAAAUGCGCAGAUAUCAGGAGGAACACCGAUGGCGAAGGCAGGUCUCUGGGCAGUAACUGACGCUGAGGAGCGAAAGCAUGGGUAGCGAACAGGAUUAGAUACCCUGGUAGUCCAUGCCGUAAACGGUGGGCGCUAGGUGUAGGGGGCUUCCACGUCUUCUGUGCCGUAGCUAACGCAUUAAGCGCCCCGCCUGGGGAGUACGGCCGCAAGGCUA
rnacentral:rRNA from 1 species